rnacentral:lncRNA from 1 species
AGGCUGGUUUUUAAUGUCAUCUCAGCAGGUGAGCACACGCCAAACGGAACAGAAGUAGGGACAUCACAGCGCCCCAGCACAAGCCAGGACGGUUCUGACACAGCGGCCGCCGUCUCAAAGCGCAGUGAGGCAGCAGCUCUGGGCUGUUCCAUCCAGGGCUCUUGCUGUAAGAGGGGCAAUGCUCAUCAGGGUCCCUCCACUCGGGGACGCUGCCGGCCCUGCUGUCCUGACAGCCCGAGCUCCUGUGCGAACACCUCUGGUCGCAGCGUCUCCCCCGGCUCCCCAGGAGCUCCCUCAGCGCCGCCACUGGGCUCCGUCACCGUCCGUCCGGCCUUCCUCAGAGGAACGGCCUCUGCCUGCGGCGCUCCCCCGGGCCCCGGGCCAGCCCCCCGCAGGCCCCGAGCAGAGCAGCGGCCCCGGAGAGCCGGCCGCACGCACGGACGCGGGGCUCCGGACGAGGCUCCCUCCCUCGCUGAAGCGCUCAGCCCGGAGAGGCAGGCGGGUGUCCGCGUCUCUGCGGGGCCAGCACCUCCUUCCCCUGCGCGACGCCUUCUGUCCCCACCGACUCGUCCCCACGCCCUUCCCCGUCCCCUCCUGGGAUUAACGGGCGCCUCACAGCAGCGAGCACCCGCCCGGCUCCAGACGCGCCCCGGCCGCCGGCGCCGCCCGCACAGAAACUCGGCGCCUCCCCUCCGCCCUGGGGCCGCCCGCCACUUCGCCGGCCCGCGCCGCCGCGCCCGCGCUGCCCCUCGCUUUCCCCGGCCCCCCGCGCAGGCCCGCGUCUCCUCGCCUCCGCCCGCCCCACGCCGCCGGACCCGCGCUGCCCUCGCUUCCCCGGCCCCCAGCGCAGGCCCGCGUCUCCUCGCCUCCGCCGCCCGCCCGCCGCACCCGCGCUGCCCCUCGCUUUCCCCGGCCCCCCGCGCAGGCCCGCGUCUCCUCGCCUCCGCCGCCCGCCCUGCGCCGCCCGCCCCCCUACCUGGCCCCAGCCGCCGGCUCGAGUCGCCUCACCUCCGCCGCACGCCCGCCCCGCGUCGCCGCACCCCCACCCGGGCCCAGCCGCCCGCUCGAGUCGCCUCACCUCCGGCUCGGCCGGCGGCGCACGCCGCUCUCCUCUCCCGGACGCCCUCAGACUGCGCAGCCCGCACUGGGGCGUCAGCCCCACCCCCAGGCGGCGGGUGGUCCCCGCGACGUCCCUCCGGCUCUGGCAGGUGCUUCUUCCCCGCGCCCAGGAGGACACAGGACGCGGGGCGCUAAGCCUGCACCCCCCGGAAGAGCCGCAGGAGGCGGC